AUUGAACGCUGGCGGCAGGCCUAACACAUGCAAGUCGAACGAGUGGCGGACGCGUGAGUAAUGUCCGGGAAACUGCUCGAUGGAGGGGGAUAACUACCGGUAACGGUAGCUAUUACUGCACAUCAUCGGAAGUACCCAGAUGGGAUUAGUUAGUAGGUGGGGUAACGGCUCACCUAGGCGACGAUCCCUAGCUGGUCUGAGAGGAUGACCAGCCACACUGGAACUGAGACACGGUCCAGACUCCUACGGGAGGCAGCAGUGGGGAAUAUUGCACAAUGGGCGCAAGCCUGAUGCAGCCAUGCCGCGUGUAUGAAGAAGGCCUUCGGGUUGUAAAGUACUUUCAGCGAGGAGGCGUUACUCGCAGAAGAAGCACCGGCUAACUCCGUGCCAGCAGCCGCGGUAAUAC
rnacentral:rRNA from 1 species